GUCGAGUGCGCGGUUGUAGCAAUACAACUGGCGCACGGCGCACGGGUGCGUAACACGUGGGCAAUCUGCCCUCCGAUGGGGAAUAACCCCGCGAAAGCGGGGCUAAUUCCGCAUAACAUUCCCUGGACUCUGGUUCGGGGAUUCAAAGCAGCAAUGCGUCGGAGGAGGAGCCCGCGCCCGAUUAGCUAGUUGGUGAGGUAACGGCUCACCAAGGCAAUGAUCGGUAGCUGGUCUGAGAGGAUGGCCAGCCACACUGGAACUGAGACACGGUCCAGACUCCUACGGGAGGCAGCAGUGGGGAAUCUUGCGCAAUGGGCGAAAGCCUGACGCAGCGACGCCGCGUGGGGGAUGAAGCUUCUCGGAGUGUAAACCCCUUUCGACCGGGACGAAUGCCCGCAAGGGAGUGACGGUACCGGUAGAAGAAGCCCCGGCUAACUACGUGCCAGCAGCCGCGGUAAGACGUAGGGGGCCAGCGUUGUUCGGAAUUACUGGGUGUAAAGGGUUCGUAGGCGGUGUGGCAAGUCGGGAGUGAAAUUUCUGGGCUUAACCCAGAGGCUGCUUCCGAAACUGCUGUGCUCGAGUGUGGGAGAGGCGCGUGGAAUUGCAGGUGUAGCGGUGAAAUGCGUAGAUAUCUGCAGGAACACCCGUGGCGAAAGCGGCGCGCUGGACCACUACUGACGCUGAGGAACGAAAGCUAGGGGAGCA
rnacentral:rRNA from 1 species